AUUUAAAUAAUUUAAUUAAAAUAUUGAUUUGUGGUAUCAAAAAUGUGAAUAAUAUUCAUUUUAAAUU
rnacentral:tRNA from 1 species